ACGGCCGCGGUAUCCUGACCGUGCAAAGGUAGCAUAAUCAUUUGUUCCUUAAUUAGGGACUUGUAUGAAUGGCCCCACGAGGGUUUAACUGUCUCUUACUUUUAAUCAGUGAAAUUGACCUUCCCGUGAAGAGGCGGGAAUACAAAAAUAAGACGAGAAGACCCUAUGGAGCUUAAAUUAACAUGUUCAACAGAAUUUAAUUAUAAUCCAACAGGAAUAAAAAUAUUUUAACUGAACAAUAAAUUUUGGUUGGGGUGACCUCGGAGUAUAACAUAACCUCCGAGCAAUUAAACCAAGACUUACCAGUCAAGGCCAUACAACUUAUUGAUCCAAUCUUAUUGAUCAACGAAACAAGUUACCCUAGGGAUAACAGCGCAAUCCUAUUUAAGAGUUCAUAUCGACAAUAGGGUUUACGACCUCGAUGUUGGAUCAGGACACCCAAAUGGUGCAGCAGCUAUUAAAGGUUCGUUUGUUCAACGAUUAAAGUCCUACGUGAUCU
rnacentral:rRNA from 1 species